UCUCGAUUGGUCUAGUGGUAAGGAUACCUGCUUGUCAUGAUAGAGUUUGCAGGUGGCCGGGGUUUGAUUUCCCGAUCGAGAG